rnacentral:rRNA from 1 species
UACGAAGGGGGGCUAGCGUUGUUCGGAAUUACUGGGCGUAAAGCGCACGUAGGCGGAUUGUUAAGUUAGGGGUGAAAUCCCAGGGGCUCAACCCUGGAACUGCCUUUAAUACUGGCAAUCUCGAGUCCGAGAGAGGUGAGUGGAAUUCCGAGUGUAGAGGUGAAAUUCGUAGAUAUUCGGAGGAACACCAGUGGCGAAGGCGGCUCACUGGCUCGGUACUGACGCUGAGGUGCGAAAGCGUGGGAAGCAAACAGG